rnacentral:rRNA from 1 species
GACGAACGCUGGCGGCGUGCUUAACACAUGCAAGUCGAACGGAAAGGCCUAGCUUGCUGGGUACUCGAGUGGCGAACGGGUGAGUAACACGUGGGUGAGUUGCCCCUGGCUGUGGGUUAAGCCUGGGAAACUGGGUCUAAUACCGGAUAUUCAUUUUUCCGCGCCUGGGGAUUUGUGGGAAGCUUUUGCGUUUGGGGAUGGGCCCGCGGCGUAUCAGCUUGGUGGGGGGGUAAUGGCCUACCAAGUCGACGCCCGGUAGCCGAACGGAGAGGACGAUCGCCGACAUGGGGAGGUGGACGCCGACCAGGCGCCUGCGAGAGGGACCAGUGUGCAAUGGUAGGCAGUGGGGGCAAAUCUUGUCCAGUGAGCGCGCGCGUGAUAAAGAGGCGCUGCGUGAGGGAAGCCGGCUUUCUCGGGGAAAACCUCUUUCAGCUCAGACGACGCGCAAGUGACGGUAGCGGAAGAAGAAGCACCGGCUAACUACGUG